UCAGAAUUUUUUUGAUAUAUCUAUCUAUCUAUACUAUAUAUCAAAAUGGGUGAGGCAAGCUUGGUUUGCCGACGCCUGUCCAGUUGUAUUGUCCGGGCGAGUUGCAUUUCAUUUCUGUACUCGCGUGUUUUAGGGAGGUGAUGUUAUAUUCAUGUGGGUUGUAUCAUUUAUCCAGGAUUUUUUGGUAAUUAUAUUCCAAGGCCCACUUUUGGUGCUUCACCUCACGAUCAAUAGUGUUGACACGUCACCGCACACGUGUUCAAGAUGCACUCUCGCUUCUGCUCUUUUCCCUCUACUAUUCCUUUUCUCAAUUACCAUCUCUCUCUGCUUCAUGGGUUCACAACAUGAAUCUUGCUCCAAGUUCCCAAUCUUCGUGCGGAGGAGGAACGGGAGGCUUCUGCGAUAGCCGCCGUGGGGAAAUCCUUUCAGUUUCAAAGCGAAACAACCGGCUGAGGUUGAUACCAUGAGCAGCACGAGUGCACCUUUGAUUUCAAGACUUUUGGCCGCAAUUCCAAGGGCAAAUCCUUUGGUUACGGCUCAAAAAGUUGAGAGAUUCUGUUCAAAUCUGAAUUUCUGGGUGCCUUUACAAGGCUUCAGUGCACUUCAAAGAAUUUUGGGUUCGCACAAGUUUCAGAUACACAAGGCAUAUAGCAGCCAUGAUCACUUGCCAUAUGCACAUACUUGAUUCAAUCAUUUGGAUUUACCUGAGUAUCCCUCCAAGGAAUUUCUAGAGGAGAAACUUUUGGUUGCAAUUCAUGAAGGCAAUGAAGGAUUGGGAUUUGGUUGAGUAUUAGGAAUGGGGAUUAUGUAGAUAAUGUCAUAUGUGAGACAAGUUGUAAGUAAUGGGAAAAGAGCUCUGGUAUAAGGUUUGAUCCUGGGAAGCUGAGUUGAUGCAUGUUAACAUACUUGGUGAUUUAAUGGUUAGUAUAUUGUUGUCCUGCUAUUUGUCUUUUUUGGUAUUGAUCAUGGAUAAUGGUGAGAGAGGAAUAUUGGAUAGCAUGCAGGGAAAAAGAAGAAACUGCCUCAAAAGUUGGUGAACAGUCAUGGUAGAGGGGUCCAGGAAGUCAAGAUUGUUUUUUGUCGCACCCAUCUGAUUUGUUUUCCUUUGAAUUUUUGUGCAUUUCAAAUUAUGCAGAAAUUAAGAUGAAUUUUUAUGUGAAUGAUAUAUAGAGAAAUGGUUUGCC